rnacentral:tRNA from 1 species
UGCAGGCUGGUGUAACCCGGCAACACAUCCGGCUCUGAACCGGACAUUGGGGGUUCGAAUCCUCCGCCUGCAGC